CAGAGAAUAUAUGUAGAUGUAUAUGUAAUAUAUACAGUAUUGUUGAGGAACACUUGGUGGAGCCUGUGGCUCCGGUUGGUAAGAAUUUACCAAAGGCAAAGAAAGUUCAAGAACAAUAGGUUUGCUGCUACAGGCAACAGUGGGCCACACAGGCAAGAGGUGCCUGUGUGUCCACCAGGUGUGAACGUGAAGGGUCUUUUAUCGGGGAAGGGGCUGUGAACACAAAGGGAUAGGGUAACAGAUUUCUGAUUGGCUGUAAGUGAGGUAAGGGGAUUAAAUCAGAAGAGCA